UUCUCCGUGAGGGGAAAACUUCCCCCACGACACGAGUCUUUGGGCCAUAAAGACAGACGGACGACGGAGUUCUCCAAUCUUCGCCGGACGUUGUUGUGCUCCACCCCGGACAGCAGCAAGCGGAACCGAUUGAGGUUGGGAAGGCGUGUGGAAGGAGAGAAUCCCGGUGUCCUUCUCGGGGUCAUUUCUUCAUAAGCCUUGCGCGGAACCCUACUUGCUCACGUCGCGCGGCGUGAUGGGCCGUCGACCGGGGAUCAGCUGCAAGGUCUACCAUUGAGACGUGUUCCUUGGAGAAGCCGAAGUGUUCCCGGCCGCCAAGAACAGCGACGGUAAGGGCCAAAGCUCGCCGUUCCCUAACACCGAGAUACGCGUCGAUUGCCUCUCCCUUCCCAGCGAGCGGUGCCUUCCCCUCUCCGUCCUCCAAACCAUCUCCCCUUUCGCCCUCCGCUGCAAGCUUCAAGCCAGGUCCGACGCCGAUCAUCCCCUCCUCAACCGACUCUACCUCUCAUGCUUCCGAGAACGCAAGGAUGCGGUGGUGGUCGCCGGGAGCGAAGAGCUGCAUCUCAUGGCAACGCCGAGCAAGGUGGAAAAUGUCUCAAUUAGUUCGGAGCUUGUAAAGUCCGUUUGUAAUUUGCAUUGGCUACGAAGUGUUUUCUGUGAUGGUUACUUGUGGAUCCUGAUUGAGGUACUUUCUUUAACCCAUUUUCUCUUUUGUAGAUCCUAAAGGACCAUGGCAGGUUUCGAAGAGGCUGACUUUUGCGGAUGGGCAAAACCAGUUAAGUUUGCGACAAUGCGGCAUAUCAAACAAGGUUUGCAAUACUGUACCGGUAUUUCGAUCUGGGCUCGGUACCGGUACGGUACGGUGUACUGAGCGAUACACCCAGGUGUACCGAGCAGUACACUCAGAUGCAUCGAGCACUGUAGUACUGCUACAUUGCACUGCUACAGUAGGACCGGUACCGGGCGGUCCGCGUACCGCUGGUCUGUCGGACCGAUACGUACCGUCCGUACCGGGCGAUACGAUUCAGUAUGGCAGACCUUGAUAUCAAAACAUCGGAGGUGCCAUACAAAGGCAUUUGAGCGCGAAAGGCGACAGUGUGUUCCUUUAGGUUAGAGUUGCCAUAAAAGGCUUCUAGUGAUGAAAGGCAAAAAUUUGUCAAGUUCAGUUUCUCUUGGAUGCUCUGGGUGAACGGGGAGCGACCCGAGGUGAGAUCAAUCGAACCUUCCCCCUUGGAUUGCUGGAACUCUCGACGCAUCUCGUUUAAGCGUUGGUCCAUUUGUCACAGUUGGGUCCUCAAGGAGUUGUCCAUUGAAUCCGUUGAUUGGGUCUCUGAUUCGAGCAGGGCAGUGCGUUGAUGCAGCGGCGUGCUAAAAUCCACGAUCUGGGAGCGGGGUGCUCCUUCUGCCGGUAGCUUAACGGGCCUGGGACAGUCCUGAGCUGUCGGUACUGGGUCAGUUAGUGGAAUCCCGACAGGUGUGGACGACAACAGUGGUUGGGACAAUGGUGUGGCUUGUUGAGUUAGUUGGGUCAGGAGUGGGGUGAUUGUCACGACCCGAGUCUGAUGAGCUAACUGGCCAAUAACUCCAUUUUGGUCCUUCAACCACGGACCAAAAUGCUUAAGCGGGAGUUAGCGUAGUACACUUAUCAGGCCCUUAUAAGCUAAUCAUACACAUUGCCCACUUCCGAUGUGGGACUAAUGGGAUGUUACAAUAUCCCCAACUCAAUUAGCUUGACGUCCUCGUUAAGGCCCGACAUAUCCUAGAUCGAACCCUAGCAUAGUGCAUGUGAGGAUUAACUCAGUGGUGGCUCCACGCCGUGAUGAGUUCUCGACUUCAUCCACGGGUAGCCCUUUCCUACUCGAGCCCUCUCACCCUGCCCAAAUGCUAGGUCGGCUCUGAUACCAAAUGUCACGACCCGAGUAUGAUGAGCCAACUGGCCAAUAACUUCAUUUUGGUCCUUCAACCACGGACCAAAAUGCUUAAGUGGGAGUUAGCGCAGUACACUCAUCAGGCCCUUAUAAGCUAAUCAUACACAUUGCCCACUUCCGAUGUGGAACUAAUGGGAUGUUACAGUGAUAGUCUGUAUCAUGCCCGUGAGCGUCUAUACCUGGUGAGUGAGAUUCAAGAAUGCUUCGACAGGAACAAUCAGGUGGCCCAUAUUUGUCCCCGAGGUGAAAGACCUGGGUAAUUGAAUAGACGCCAGUAAUGCCCUGGUGUUUAAGCAAAAGUGGAUGCAUCUACAUGGGGAGGGAGGGCAGGUGCUAUGGGUUAGAGGUAAAGCCUCCUCACUGGAUCGUUCGUUGAGAGGGUUAGCGGGUGGACGUUCUUGCGACAUUCAGGCCCUUCCUCUAGCGCCAAAAUGCCGAGGGAAAGUACCGUCGACGUUUGAGUCAGCCCGCUUGAUCUAGACUCGAAGGCGUAGAAAUGUUCAAGGUCCCCUCUAAGUGGCCCGGACGUAUUUGAGGUGGCUCCGAGGUGGACUUGGAGUGGCUCCGAGGUAGGGGUUCGACUUCCCGGGCACUUCCUACAAAAAGACUAAUGUCGGGAGAAGUUUCCCGACCCGAUCCCUCUGAUACUCAAGUCAGUCCGAGGUUCCUUUUGGGGUAUGGGGUGUUCUAAAAAAAAAGUGUCCCUUAGGCCAACACUAGGGUGGUCAAUUGAGGGGGCACCUUGUAACGACCCCAUCGUCCCCCUUGGUGUCUUGCCCACGAGGGCAAAAAGGGAGGACAAGCCCAAACGGUCUCCCAUGGACUAUUGUCCAUGAGGCCUGAGAAGCUAUAAUUACCUCCCAUGUCGGCGACAAGGGGAGGAUGAUUAGGGCCCUUUCUUCCGUAUCAGCAUCCUCAAGGUGAUUAGUUGGCAGGUGGUGAUUGGCUGUCAAAAUAUUCUCUAUCAUCGAUGUUGUGCACCUUUAUGUUGUGGCCUAGAGUCGGCUUUGCUUGGUCCAAUCUUGAAAGCGCAAGGUCGUCCAUGUGGCUUCUAAUGGGGAAGAAAGAUGGGGGAGUGAGGUCGGGCCGAGGAGGUCGGCUCGGGGGCUAUGAUCGAAUCUCUGAGGGCGUCCUGAGGUGGAGUCACGUUGCGCUCAAUCUGUCAGGAUCCUACACGAUAGGUCAAUGUCGGGGGGAGGUUCCUAACCCGACCCCUUCGAUGGUUAGGUUUGUGAGUGUAGGUGUUUCUUUUUUUUGUCUCCCUUUAUCCUAGGAUAGGGAAUUGGUAUUUAUACAUGCGAAAAUAGCACGGAAGUACAAUGGUUGAUAGUGACCACCGGUACCUCCUAAGGCACGGUCGCGCAGGCAAUCGACCCGUACGCCCCCUAUGGCAUGGGUUGGCCCAUCCGGGUUUCUAGUUCACAACGUCGACUCGUAUAGUCCCAUGCGGCACGGGACUAGGUGGAAGGGUGCCGCCUGCCAGGUUGAGUUCACAGUCAGCUCCACGGUGGCUGCCAACUAGCGAACUGUAGUUAGUGCGAGAAUAUUCCCUAUCAAUCGGCGAUGUCCGAAUCAGCUUAAUAUGAUUUGGGCCCAUGUGCACAAGAGAGGUGAGAUAUUCGAAUCUUACUAUUGUUUUGGACUAAUGUCCAUGUGGCCUAGCUGUUGAUUGGGUCUUGCCCCCUCACUGCUGGUUGUGUUGCCAUGUGUCAAGCCACCAUUGGGGGAGAAGAUUUCCACUAUCACCUUUGCUUUGAAAAAAAAAUAAAAAGAUAUCUUAAUUAAUUUAUAGUGCCUACUCUAGUGCAUUCUUGUGUUUUUCCUUAAUUGAUUUGCUUCUGAUGAAGAUGGCAAGAUAUCAGUAAAUCAACCAUCUGCAAGCAACAUAAAUCUAUAUAGUGAAUCAGGACAACCAAGUUUACUUGCCGGCUUGCCGCAUCCAUGUUCAUUUCUACAAUGCAAGAAAUAGGCAGGAGAUGUAACUCUUAAGAUUGAGUUAAGGUCCAUAAAUGGAGGCAGUAAGGAUUUGCAACAUUAUGUUGAGAGUCGGCACUGCUUGGUCCAAUCUUGAAAGCGCAAGGUCAUCCAUGUGGCUUCUCAGGGGGAAGAAAGAUGGGGGAGCGAGGUCGGGCCGAGGAGCUCGGCUCGGGGGCUACGAUCGAAUCUUCGAUGGCGUCCUGAGGUGGAGUAGCGUUGCGCUCAAUCUUGCCAGGAUCCUACACAAUAGGUCAAUAUCGGGGGGAGGUUCCCGACCUGACCCCUUUGAUGGUUAAGUUUGUGAGUGCAGGAGACUAUUCAUCCUUUAUUGUGCCUGCUACUGGUGGUAUGGUUACAAGUGUUUAUAAGCAUUUUCUUGGGAAUGAAAAUGGCUUCUUAAAUGAUACGGACAGCCCUCAAAAUGAGCCAGCCAAGAAAGAACACUUACCUGCCAGUACAUCACAAAAAUUGGUGUUUGGACGGACAAACUAUAGUAUUCCAGGAAAAAACAACAUCUUCUGUGAUGCCAAAUAAGGGAGAGUAUUGUUUUCAGGUUGAAUUAGCUGGAAAUAUUUUGGGAAAGGGAGUUGGUUUAAGCAAAGAGGAGGCUAAGCUUCAGGAGGGCAGUGCUGAUCAAGCCACUCGACUGUUUUGUGCUUGUCAUUUUGUCUUCGAAUUGUAGCAUUCUGUCUUAUAGUGAAAUCGGUCAUGGAUGGGUUACUUGUACAGACUGAUUGCUGAAAGGGCUGCAGAGGAGGCACUCCUUACUCUUAAGAACAGACUUGAAUCGACAAGCAAAGAGACGUUAAAGAUCAUCAAGGCCUAAUGACUAAAUGCUCCAUUGAUGGAACUGAUGCGAGUUUACAAAGUAUCCUCUAGAAUACCAUUGUGCAUAGACGUUCAGAUGGUCAGGAACGAGGUGCAAGUUCUUAUAGUCGACGGUUCUUAUCCCUCGAGCCCUCAUGGAAUUUCUGUUGACUUCCUCAUGCAUUAUGCUUGUCGCAUUGACAUCUAUUCAUAUUCAACAGGAAGUUCUUUUAUCUUACUUGAUUGCUGAUCGGUCUAGAGUUCUUAGAGCUGUGAGCACAGUCAAAUUUUGGUAGAACUCCCUCACAAGAUUCUCUGAACUUCCUGUAUCAACCAUAUAGGAUGGUCUGUAUAGAGAGGCUAUGUAUUUGAACAUGGCAGGCAAGAAAAAAACACUUGAAUUAGAUCAGAAUUUUCACUUGACUGGAAGGUUUUUCUAUUCUUGGUGCAGGAGAAACCUCAGUCUGUGUAUUGGAGAUUUUGACAAGAUUCUAUGGACCGGUGAUGCUCUGAGGUAAUCAGAAGGAUUUUCCAUCAACUAAGUAUAUCAGAUGGUCUGGUUAUUGGUUCUUUGGAAUUUAUGCUUGGAAUUCCUGUGUUGCUUGCUCUCUGUUAGCUGUGUAGUCUUGUUUGUAGUCCAUUCACAAAGAUAUGACAAGUUUUCUGGGGAUUCAUGCAA